rnacentral:tRNA from 1 species
CGGUGGAGAUCGUCCAGCGGUAGGACUACGGACUCUGACUCCGUCAACCUAGGUUCGAAUCCUAGUCUCCCAGCCA